rnacentral:rRNA from 1 species
AUUGAACGCUGGCGGCAUGCCUUACACAUGCAAGUCGAACGGCAGCAUGGAGGAGCUUGCUCCUCUGAUGGCGAGUGGCGAACGGGUGAGUAAAGCAUCGGAACGUGCCGUGUAGGUGGGGGAUAACGUAGCGAAAGUUACGCUAAUACCGCAUACGAUCUAAGGAUGAAAGUGGGGGAUCGCAAGACCUCAUGCUCAUGGAGCGGCCGAUAUCUGAUUAGCUAGUUGGUGGGGUAAUAGCCCACCAAGGCGACGAUCAGUAGCUGGUCUGAGAGGACGACCAGCCACACUGGGACUGAGACACGGCCCAGACUCCUACGGGAGGCAGCAGUGGGGAAUUUUGGACAAUGGGGGAAACCCUGAUCCAGCAAUGCCGCGUGUGUGAAGAAGGCCUUCGGGUUGUAAAGCACUUUUGUCAGGAACGAAACGGUGGGGGCUAAUACCCUCUGCUAAUGACGGUACCUGAAGAAUAAGCACCGGCUAACUACGUG